rnacentral:rRNA from 1 species
GAACGCGAAGAACCUUACCCAGGGUUUGACAUGCAAGUGGUAGAGAAGCGAAAGCGGAACGACCCUUCGGGGAGCUUGCACAGGUGCUGCAUGGCUGUCGUCAGCUCGUGUCGUGAGAUGUUCGAUUAAGUUCGCUAACGAGCGCAACCCUCGUUGCGUGUUACAAGUGUCACGCGAGACCGCCGGUCUUAAACCGGAGGAAGGUGAGGAUGACGUCAAGUCAGCAUGGCCUUUAUAUCGUGGGGUACACACACGAUACAAUGGCCAGUACAAUAGGUAGCCAAACCGCGAGGUGGAGCCAAUCCUAAAAACUGGCCUCAGUUCAGAUUGCAGGCUGCAACUCGCCUGCAUGAAGAUGGAGUUGUUAGUAACCGCAGGUCAGCUAUACUGCGGUGAAUACGUUCCCGGGCCUUGUACACACCG